GCAUAAGUACACUGUUUAGAAGCUCCUCCUGUUAAGAGUGGAGAAACAUGUAAACAAAGUAUCUCUUUACAGUGAUUCCAGCAGGCACUGUGUCCUGGAGGUCUUAUACAAACAUGUUAAGGACUGUGGACUUGACAGAAAAGGUAGUGAGUGGGAAACCACUGAACAGCUUUUUAGGUAGGAAGCAGUGUGACUAUUCAAUGUGUGCUUUCUGUCCCCACUCUGGCUAUAGUGUGGAUACCUGGCUGGACCAACAGUGCAGGACUGGAAGCUGGAAGACCAGUUCAAGGCACUUUGAGUUGUUUAGCUCUGCCCCACACACCCAGGACUCCAGGAAGGUAUUGACAAAGAAGGAGUUGCCUGAAGGGGUGGAGACACUCUCAUCUUACUGCUGCCUGUGGUCCAUAAAGACCUGAAAGACCAGAGGCCGGGAGUGGUUUCAUUCAGCUUCCUCCUAAUCUGGGGCUUUCUCCAUCUUAAUAUAAAAUAUUAAGAAAUA